UACGGAGGGUGCGAGCGUUAAUCGGAAUUACUGGGCGUAAAGGGCACGCAGGCGGGCUGUUAAGUCAGCUGUGAAAUCCCCGGGCUCAACCUGGGAAUUGCAUUUGAGACUGGUAGUCUUGAGUAUUUUAGAGGGGGGUAGAAUUCCAGGUGUAGCGGUGAAAUGCGUAGAGAUCUGGAGGAAUACCGAAGGCGAAGGCAGCCCCCUGGGAAAGGACUGACGCUCAUGUGCGAAAGCGUGGGGAGCAAACAGG
rnacentral:rRNA from 1 species